GCCUCGGUAGCUUAAUCUGGUAGAGCACAUGGCUGUUAACCAUGCGGUUGAGGGUUCAAAUCCCUCCUGAGGCG
rnacentral:tRNA from 1 species